UAGAUCUCUAGAUCCAAAUUGGGAUUAGUUUCCUAAACAGAUAUGUGAUCAAUGGAGUAAUGUGCUUUUAGUUUGAUAAUGCAUGAUGCACUUUGAGAAAAAGUGGAUGAACUAAAUUUUGUGUGUGGUGAUCCUUUUUAUGGUCUUAUGCAAAAUGUGCAAAUGUUGCACAUACAUUUCACUAGCUCCUCACUAUGUGUUUUUUCAGUUGACCAUCUGAUUUUUUCAUGUUUUGUUGACAGGCCUAUGUAUUUGUAUUAGUAGGG
rnacentral:misc_RNA from 1 species